CGUAGGUAACCUGCCUGGUAGCGGGGAUAACUAUUGGAAACGAUAGCUAAUACCGCAUAAUAGUAGUUGUUGCAUGACAACUGUUUGAAAGGUGCAAUUGCAUCACUACCAGAUGGACCUGCGUUGUAUUAGCUAGUUGGUGGGGUAACGGCUCACCAAGGCGACGAUACAUAGCCGACCUGAGAGGGUGAUCGGCCACACUGGGACUGAGACACGGCCCAG
rnacentral:rRNA from 1 species